GAAGAACCUUACCAAGGCUUGACAUACACCGGUAACGCCCAGAGAUGGGUGCCCCUUUGUGGUCGGUGUACAGGUGGUGCAUGGUUGUCGUCAGCUCGUGUCGUGAGAUGUUGGGUUAAGUCCCGCAACGAGCGCAACCCUCGUCCUAUGUUGCCAGCGGGUCAUGCCGGGGACUCAUGGGAGACUGCCGGGGUCAACUCGGAGGAAGGUGGGGAUGACGUCAAAUCAUCAUGCCCCUUAUGUCUUGGGCUUCACGCAUGCUACAAUGGCCGGUACAAAGGGCUGCGAUACCGCGAGGUGGAGCGAAUCCCAGAAAGCCGGUCUCAGUUCGGAUUGGGGUCUGCAACUCGACCCCAUGAAGUCGGAGUCGCUAGUAAUCGCAGAUCAGCAACGCUGCGGUGAAUACGUUCCCGGGCCUU
rnacentral:rRNA from 1 species